AGCCCCCCUAUCAUUUGUACUCAGCCCCCCUAAAAAUUCUCCAUAAACUUUACACAAAUUGGUGAUCGGCCACGUCCGCUUUAAAUUUCAUAUGAAAACGGCGGCAGACUUCGGCUCCGCAACGUCUUUCAGCGCGGUCUUCAACUGAAUUAUCACAGACUGCGGCAUCACAGAGCGAGGAUUAAGCCAAGAUCGUCCUGAGCUGACAUCGGAGCCGCCUUGUCUACGUUUGGAGUACGUCUGCCGACCGAUUCCUGUUUUCAACAGAAGCACUGAUGAGCGGCAGGUGAAGGCGGGGAUCUCCAAGGGGCCGUCUGACCGGCGAUGCUCACAGGAGAAGCCGAUCGAUGAUCAGACGAGAGCAGCCCUCACGGUUCACAUUACACCUUUUAAGGAAAAUGGCCACUUUGAUGCUCUCCAAGGACUGAAAUGGGAGGCCUCGACCUGCAUAUAUCUUAAUAUUCCCCCAUGUAAUGUCCUCCACAAUAUACCAGGAUGUUCUCCAGGUCCUGCUCAGGCUUCUGGGAGAUGGCUGCAGCCUGUGUUGUGAUGCUGUCAGGCCACCUCAAAUCCCCCUCAUGUGCCUGGCCCUGAGAGAAUGGUGGAGGGGGGGGGGGUGAAGGACAGUAGUGUGAACUAGGUGCCCUGCACUCAUUCUUCGUGAUUUUCAGGGCCCUUCCCUGAUGCCCAAAUCGCAGAGCCCCAGAAAGGGUCCUUUGGGAAGUCUGUCAAAUGACCUGGUUAAGCGGGCAAUUGUUCUCGCGAGUCUGGCCUUGGCGCACGGUACAGUAGACGGAGCGGACUGAUCGAUGUCACGGACAACAUGCCGGGACACUUUGAGUGAAAAAUAAAGGGCUCACCCAGUCUGCGCUCUGGAAUCCCUGUGAUGAAAUGUGCCGGCUUUGUUCCCUUCCGAGGCGGUGCGCUGUUCCAUUCUGCAUGGGUAAUCAUGUGACGAAUGACCCUGAUUGGCUCCAACAAAGGCCCGUCAAAGGCUUGGAUCUUUUGGUCUUCAGCCCCGCCUGUCAGACGCCACGGUGGCAGCUGAUUGGCAGAGCUGUGUCUGGAGCCUCCUGGAAAGGAUGCCCUGCCAUGGACAUUCCUGUAAAGUGGGCACGCGCGCCAGAGCAUGGGUGGGAGCGAUCUGCCCUGCCACAAACCACAACGAUCUUCAUAAUCAUCAGAAUCAAAACGGUGACCAUCUGUGGCUGGCAGACUGAGCUCUGUGAAGAGUAUAGGAGUCAAGUUGUGUUGGAAGCCAACACAGCUAAACCAGGAAGAACAAAGCUUCACCAGGAAGGGCUGAUUUUAUGGCUAUAUUGUAGGGCAAUCUGUGUGCUGUAUUAUUAUCAGUCAUGUCUGCUAUUCACAUCAUUAAACAUCUUUUUUAUUAUAAAUUUGUGUUCUUAAAAGGUCCUUUUGAUCAUCAGCAAAGAGAAAAGGCAUGUUUAGGUUUGACCUUAAGGAAAAUAUCAAUAUCAGGUACACAUAUGCACACAAACGCUUUUAUGCUGCUAUAGCAGGAAAAUAUAAGUAUUUUUUCAUUCAUUGUGUCUGAUGUGUCAUUGGAGAAGUAUCUGCAUUUUUAUGUGUGUGCCUCAUGAAUAUGCAAAUAUUUUCAUAUAUCAAUGAGAACAGCACAAGUCACAUGCUACCCUCUCUCUGAUGCUAUGCCGGAAGCCUAAUAUCUUGAUAGAAAGAAAACUGAAUGUCCUGCUUGUGAUCAAUAAAGCCCUUUUAGGAGGUUUUCAAGAUUUGCACUCAUAUCUGCUCAAUGUUCUCCUUUUCUCAACUGGAUGAAUGAAAAGGCGCUUGCAGCUGGCGA